AAGACCCACCAGUCUUCCCUGCUCAUUCUUGAUCAGGAUGAGACUGAUAUCCUAUGAAAUGCAACAGAAUCAGCUCCUGGAAUUGUGUUAGCAGAAUGACAGGAGUAUGAGAUCCACCACAUGGCAGGGCGCCCCAGGAACCUGCUUUCUUCUUGAAGAGCAACUGAAAACUAUUUCCAAAUUAUCCUUCAUUUUGAGCCAGGCAAUGGUCAGGUGGAGUAAAACAUAGGGAAGAAUGUCUUUUUGGUUCAAAGAAUAAAAAAAAAAAUUGGGCCAACAUGUAGGUGAUUGAUUUCUGCCUGGACUGAGGAUUCAGGAGAAGAUGUGCGGAACACAGCCUGAACAUGCCCCAACCUGGCUGACAAAUUCCACCCCAAAGAGUGGAAGAAACACACCUACAACAUAAGCAGAAAGUAUUUUUCUUCCGUACUUUCUAGGACUUGAAGCUGCUUUGUUUUUUGGUUGCUGGGUGGGGAAGAAGGAACUAUAAUAUAGCUUCCAGAAGAGAGAAGAGAGUUCUCUCUUGAGUGUGAAUUUAGCAGUACCAAGAGGCCUCAAAAUAGCUCUCUUUCCUGCUUGAAAUUCUACUGUUAAGAGUUUUUCUUUAGGUUUAAAACCUUGAAAGCUCCAUAAUGCUCCUGAGUCAAACAAUAAAGCCAUUAGUAGUCAAUGACUUUAAUUUUUUUUUCAUUUCAAUUUUAGAUCUAAUUUUAUCUGACUCCUAAAAACAUGUUUUAUAUUUUCAUGAGGACUUGGCCCAUAUGUGUAAACAGUUUAAACAUCUUAAUUUGUUGGCUGAACUAGCCCAAAUUGUCAAAUUUUUUUAGGCAAGAGUGGAUUUCAUCAAAUUGGUUGACCCACCAUUUCCUAAAUUCAUCAUUGAUUGAUUAU